AUUGAACGCUGGCGGCAUGCUUUACACAUGAAAGUCGAACGGUAACAGGUUAAGCUGACGAGUGGCGAACGGGUGAGUAAUGCAUCGGAACGUGCCCGAUCGUGGGGGAUAUCGCAGCGAAAGCUGCGCUAAUACCGCAUACGAUCUGACGAUGAAAACGGGGGACCGUAAAGCAUCGCGCGAUCGGAGCGGCCGAUGUCAGAUUAGGUAGUUGGUGGGGUAAAGGCUCACCAAGCCGACGAUCUGUAGCUGGUCUGAGAGGACGACCAGCCACACUGGGACUUAGACACGGUCCAGACUCCUACGGGAGGCAGCAGGGGGGAAUUUUGGACAAUGGGCGCAAGCCUGGUCCAGCAAUGCCGCGUGCAGGAAGAAGGCCUUCGGGUUGUAAACUGCUUUUGUACGGAGCGAAAAGGCUCUCUCUAAUACAGGGGGCUCAUGACGGUACCGUAAGAAUAAGCACCGGCUAACUACGUGCCAGCCGCCGCCGUAACAC
rnacentral:rRNA from 1 species